rnacentral:rRNA from 1 species
CCUUCGGGGUACACGAGCGGCGAACGGGUGAGUAACACGUGGGUGAUCUGCCUCGCACUCUGGGAUAAGCCUGGGAAACUGGGUCUAAUACCGGAUAUGACCUUACAUCGCAUGGUGUUUGGUGGAAAGAUUUAUCGCGUGCGAGAUGGGCCCCGCGGCCUAUCAGCUUGUU